rnacentral:misc_RNA from 1 species
GGCCAUCUUCCUAAUCGCGAAAUGAAGUUGUUUGGAAGAACAUGUGGAAGAUUCAUCUUCCCAAUAAACUCUCUAUUUUUCUGUGGUCCAUGCUUCGAGAUAAACUGCCUUCUGGGAAUCUCCACAAACACAUUCCUCAAGUUUCGCUAGACUGUUCCUUAUGUGGCCAGAAAGAAACUACAAAGCACAUCUUCUUUAAGUGCCCAAGGGCGGCAACAUAGUGGUUUAAUUCUCCUUUCAGGGUUCGAUCCACAUUUCUUAAUGGUUCAUCUUCUGGAUUGCUGGGAAUCCCUCACACAACCCUUAUCUAGCCUUGUAUUAGGGAGAGAAUUGAUUCAACAAGUAUUUUUUAUUGGUUCAACUAGUAGUUUUAUUCUUUGGGGCAUUUAGAAAUGUAGACAUGCUCAUAUUUUUCAAGGUCAUCAGCAGGAUUACCAUCAGGUCAUUAAUGAGGCCAUUUCCUGUCAAUAGGCCUUCAACGAAGCCAAACCUCCUCACCAGCAUCCACCUAACCCUCUAAGUACUUAGCAAAUCUCUUGGGCACCUACUCCACCAAAUGUUUUGAAAGCCAAUUUUGAUGCAACAAUGGAUUCCAAUCGACAUAGGGGAUCAGUGGCAUUUUUUUUUUCAAGAUCAUACAAGUGCUCUGAAGGACUGAGGCUGCCGUUCAUGUUACCACAUUUCGAAUCCACUAGUGUUGAAAAGUCUAGCUUGAGAAAUGCAAUUCAAAUGGCGGUGAAAAGAGGCUGUAAUCGGAUCAUCUUUUAAGGUUACUGUCAGAUCUUAUUUCAGGCUAUUCUCUCUAAUCAACCUUCUCUUUAUAUUUCAAAUGUGAUGUUUGAUAUGUAUAAUUUGAUUAGAGACUUAGUUUCCUUUAAGUAUGUCAAAAGGAACUAUAACAGACCAACUCAUUUCUUAGCCUAAAAGGUCUUGCACCAGAGUGUACAAGGCUCACUGCCUGUUUAGGUUUAGUUAUUGAAUUUUCUCAGGAAUAGGUGAGAACUCCCCGUAGUUUUAGCUUAUAAAAGAUGGUGAUUUUGCAGGGAGAGAAGAUUGCAUGUAUAGUUGUAACAAGCUAUUCCUGCGUGGCAUCUAUCAUGCACACAAUGCUGGGUAGUAGAACAAGUGAGCAUUGUGCAACCGCAUUCAUGACCAGAAGGUUUGCGAGUCUACAUUCACAAGAACAUGAUGGGAGAACCCAAAAAUAAGAGGAACUUGCCGUCAGGAAUUAAACAUUGAUGUUAUUUCGCACAACGUUAAGAUUUAGUCCAUAAAUCUGUCCGCGUCUAUGCAAGAUCAACAUUAUCAAGAAAUCUAAAUCCUGAACUUUUCAC